CGAGGUCAUGCGACGACUCGGGUGUUGUGACCU
rnacentral:misc_RNA from 1 species